UCUGACACUUCAGUGCUGUCCUGAUGUCUGCAAUUAUCAUUUUAGCAACUGAUGCCAACUAUUGUCAGUGGAAAGUGAAGAGAUAGACAACAGAAUGUUCUGUUAUAGUCACUCAUGAACACAGACAUGAUGCUGCUCGUCAUCUCAAUCUUUACACUGUUUCUACAGGUUCAUCCACAGCGUAAGUAAAACAGAUUCUUUCAUUUCUGUUCAAUGUCUUGUGAAGUAGCUUUAAGUUUACAUGCAUUUUGAAAAUCCCUGUAAAAAUCAAUUAAAUUAAAAUGAAUGUUAACUCAUAACAGUAGAAUCUGUAACAACUUCAACAAUGAGUUUUAGAGAAAUUCUGCUCUUUGGUUAAGGAAACAUUUUUAAUUUUGUCUUACUAAAUUCUACCUUUUAAUACUUUUCACAAUUUUUUACUGUAUAAGAACUACUGAUUGGUUAACAGUAUCUCAAGCAUCAGUGUAUAAUACAGUUCAGCUCAAAACUGACAGGUCAACAGACUUACAGGAAAAUUCACAAGAAGCAUCAUCCAAACCAUCUCUCUUUACCACAGUACCAGCUUACAGUAAGUGCUGGGGCGAAAAAUCGGCUGCAAUUCUCAUGCGUAUCUCAUCAGUAAAGCUGGUUUCCUCGAUUAGUAGUAAAUCGUAGUAAAGUAGUAAAUUGCCAUCACCUUCUUUCAGAUUGAGCGGCAUUUACUACACAAAGUCGUAUUUCACAGACAAGAUGGGCAAUAUACCAUUCAUAAAUGUGGACGAAUCACCUCCGAUAAU